GUGGGCCUAGAUUAUUUAAAAAAAGUUGUCAUUAGGGGCAAAAAGCAUUGAGGGAUAGAAAGUAGAAUUCACGGUUACUAUAAAGUUGUUUGGAUCCACUGUAGGCAGACUUUGUAGCUCAGCCCAAAAUAAAGAAUGGUUCUGUCUUUAACACUAUUACGCUAGUUUGGGGAGCAGGUACACGGGGUCAGCAUCUUUUAUUGGAUCUACAUGUGGCUAUAUAUCUGUGCUUGCCUCACUUUAUUUGGCAUCAUUAUGCAUGUAAUGAUGUGUAUUAUUAUAUUCUCAUAUCCUGACAAAAGGGAAGAGAGGAGAUUGUAGUAGGAGAGUAUCAUGGGAUACUCUCUUUAAUAUUUACGCAGAAUUAUGAAGGGAUACACAAGAAGGUGAAUUCCCCUUUUAAGAAAUAUAACUGUUAAUAAAAGGAAAGCAAUUUUCCAUUUUGCACAAAUUUAGGACAGAAAUAUUCAAAGAGGGUAGUGACUACAGUUUCUUCACACUUAGAUGAGAGAAUAAACAAAUACACAACAGUAGUGAUGGUAAUUAUCAGAGGAAGAAUUAUUACCAUAUAUAUAUAUAUAUAUACUUCAUUAAAAUGGAUAUAUCUUUUCUCAUAUAGAGAAACAGAAACUUGAUUGUGAAGAUAAAUGUGUCUCAGCAGUUGCUAAGAAAAUGACCGGUUACUUUCUGUCCCUUUUGAGGAGCAUGCAAAGAAAUUGCUUUAGCCUCUGAUAAAUAAAACAGACUGCCAUGGAGAAAAUUACAGUGAGGAAAUUACAGACAUCAUCUUUGAACAGGGAAAAGGUAACAGAAAUUAGUCCCCAGAAACGGAAGCAUACUUACAUAUGGGAUCUCCUGCAACCUCUGGAUCUGAUGGUUCACUGGGAGGACCAAUUCCUGCAGCAUUUAUUGCCAUGGCUCUGAACUGGUAUUUAACGCCUUCAAGCAAACGAGGAACAUUAAAUUCCACGCCUUUCAAUCCCACUUUGGUUAUUGGUGCUCGGCUAACACGUGACCAAUAAGGACUUCCCUCUUCUCUUUUCUCCAGCCAGUAGCCAGUAAUUGGAGAGCCACCAUUGUCCAAAGGAGGAGUCCAGCUCACUAGCAUUGAUCCUUUGGUGCGUGCCAAAACUUUUGGUUUUCCUGGAGGUCCAGGAAGGCGAUAAGGAUCUUGAAUGACUACUUUAUCUGAUUUGCACUCAUCACUGAUUCCAUAUUUAUUCACUGCCCUGACUCGGAACUCAUACUGACCAUUGGGGAUAAG